CUAAAGCUUCAACUUUCUUGCUUGUCAAAUGGUGCUAGUCAUAAUUCCUACUUCACAGAGUAUUUGAGGAUUAACAGGAAAAUCCAUGUAAAGUAGCACUUAGUGCUAAGUAAAUACUGCUGUUUUGUAGUGUUGGUGAUAUAUUUUUGAGGUCUGAGGAACUGACAACAGGUAACUGUUAACAUGAAAGGCCUCUGGGGUGUGGUGGGUUGAAUUGUGUUCCUCCAAAAGAUACCUUCAAGUAUUAACUUCCUGAAGAUUAUCUUCAGUACAUGUGAGUGUAUUUGGAGAUAAGACUUUGUAGAUGUAAUCAAGUUAAGAGGAGGGUCAUACUGGAUGAUGGUGGGCCCUUAUCCAAUAACUAGUGUCUAUAAGGAGAAAUCUAUACACAGGCACACAGGGAGAACUCUGUGAGAAGACAGAGGCAGAGAUUGCAGUGAUACCACAAACCAAGGAAUGUCAAGGGUUAACAGCAACCACCAGAAACCAGAAGAGGCCAAGAAGCAUUCUUCCCUAGAGUGUUUGGAGGGAGCAUAGCCCUGCCAGCACCUUGGUUUUGGACUUUGAGCCUUUAGAACUGUGAGUUUAUGUUGCUUUAAGCCUCCCAGUUUGUGGGAAUUUGUUGCCACAGCCCUAGGAAAGAGAGGGUAUCAGUAUUGAGGGAAGUGUUUUGGGCUCCCAUUUAAGCAUCCAGGGUUAGGCUUAUUAGCCAUAGAACACUCAUUUCUAUAUUUUAAAUCCACUGAGUAAUAACCUCCCAAAGAGAUCAUGGGUAUUUGCCUACUGACUUAGUGAUGCUGGAGGUGUGCAUGUGUGUGUGUGUUGGGGGUGGUGGUGGUGGGGACACAAGUUCUGAGAUUAAUGAGAGCCUUCAUGGUGAUGACUGUGUAUUCAGGGUCACAGAACGCCACAGACACACUCAGAAGAGGCAGGGGGGUAUGCAGUAGGACUGAGGAAAAGGGCUGCUGCAUUUCAUCUGUCCCAGUUCUCCUGUUGAGAGUCUUUCCUUCCCCUUCUCUGUCACAGGAAUAUAGGUAGUUGUCUUGUUGGGCUGAGAUGCAGGGAAUUUGGAACUGGCCUAGGAAAUUGUUGAACUUUAUCAGUCUGUGGUGAAUACCUUUUCCUUCAUGCCAGCUGUGGACCAUAGAGAACUUCCAGGGAGAUGCUGUGUGCCUCUGUACUUUCCCAGAGAAAGCCAGGUGGUCUCUGUCUCAGUUAAUUUUCCAUAGGAUGUUCCUGAAAGAUGUAGAAGUCCUUUUUCAGCAUAGAAUCCCUCCGCCCCCCUUGGCUUCCUUGGUCCUGCAUUUCCGUCAGUCACCCCUUCCUUGCCUCUCCUACUCCAUGCUCUGACAGUAGCAUUUUGAGUAACUCAGGUUCUCCUCUGCUUUCUCCAGCCAGAAGGGAAGGUAUUCACAGACGGGAAUGAUAACCCUGGUUCACUGCUCACCACAUAACUACUACCGGAAGACUAGAGUUCAUCUUGAAAGAAGAGAUAAUACAUUAUAAGGAUAUAUACAGUUUUCAGAGCUCCUACGACAAGGGUGAAGGGUAGCAUGGGUGGAGGUGGAUGCGACAGUGGAAUUGUAUGCUCAUUGAAUGAGGACUCCUGUAGAAGCCUAGACUAUUUGGACUGCUGAACUUCUGACUCUAUCAGUGCCGUUUUGGUCUUGACCUUCUUAUUUAUUCUUUUAUUGGGCUAUGCUAGGUCUUGGUUGCAGUGAAUAGGAUCUUUAGUUGCAGGAUGCAGGAUCUUUAGUGGUGGCAUGUGGCAUCUUCUAGUUGUGGCACUUGAACUCUUAUUUGUGGCAUGUGGGAUCUGAUUCAAGCAAGGAGUCUUAGCCAGUGCACUUCCAGGGAAGUCCCUGUCUUGACGCUCUUGAGCAAGGAGAAAGAAGGUUGAAUCAUUACACUUGCUAGGUCACUGGCUCAUUGGUAGGAAAGGUUUUGUUUGUUGGUUUGUUUUGAGUUAAUGUGUAAGGGAGGUAGGAGGAAAGGGUGGAUGGUCAAAGAGAGAACAGCAGAGAGGCAGCCUAGUGGGAGAGAAGGAACCAGAGCAGGCAGCAGGACGAGGAUUCUCUACCCUGUGCUCUGAGGCGGCUUCCCCGACCCACAGUGAACGAGUUGGGAGCUGUUACCACCCGUGAGAAGUCUCCUGCGGCAGAACCCAGCACUCAGUGAUGGAAGGACCUCUGGGUUAAAUCCCAGGAUAGGGAGAGGAGAGAAGGAGCUGGAGACAACCUACCUUGGUUUGAGACCUGUUUCUGCCACUUCCUGGCUGUGUCCACUUUGGAGGCUCAUCUCCAAGUGAUAAUUCAGAGACCAGACUCUGCUCUGCUGUCUUCAACAGUUGGCUUCUGCAUUCACCACGGAAGGAGAAAGAGCAUGAAGAAUGGCACGUGGGAGAUUAUUAGGGACCAAGCCUGGAGGAGUGUUACAUCAUUUACACCCAGAUUCCAUUGGCUAGAACUCAGUCCAUGGCCACACUGAACAGCAAAGAUGGCUGGAAAACGUGAUCUAGCGGUGUAUCCUGGAAGAGCUACUAGGUUUUGUGAUCGGCCAGCAAUCUCUGAAAAAAUAUGUUUCUUGGA